CUCAGCGGCCGCUCGGUUGUAACCAGGGCUAAAGGCCGAGUUAAUUACACCGGGCGGAUUUCGCUGGGUGGGGACGAUGGGACUGGCUCCUAACGAACUUUUCCCCAAAGGAAAAAGGAGGCGAGUGGGGUUAGAAAGGUAAAUACCCGACAAGGUUUUGGUAGAAACUAGUUCUGGCCAGGGUCCCGCUCAAUCCCUGGCCAGAGUUCCAGCUGGCUUUACCUCUGCGCCGCUGCUUUCCGGAGGCUGCGCGUCAAUCAGGCAGAGCCGAGAGCUGGGGGCGGAGCUUUGGUCACCCGGCGCGCGGAGCCGGGCUCACCCUGCCGCCACCCGGCAGCUGGCUGAGCGACCUAGCCAAGCACUGAGAGCGCGCCCUCUCCCCAACUUCUCACCCUCGCCCAGGGUUCCCCGCCCGAGGCCCAGAGAACUGCAAACAGACUAAGGGACUGCUGUUCCACCGCGGCCUCCCUUCCCAACUCUGAACCCAUUCUGUAACGUAGAAAGCAGCGCCUCCUGCUCCGGUGGCUUGGACUGGACUUUCUCGUGGGGGCGGGGGUGGAUGGGAGUGGUUAGGAAGAGUAAAGUGUGUGUGUGUUCUUGGGUGUGAGAGAGAGAGAGAGAGAGAGAGAGAGAGAGAGAGAGAGAGAGAGAGAGAGAGAGAGAAGAGAGGGGUGGGAAGGCUCUUUUUUGGCUCCCUUUGCAUCUUGGUUUCUUCGUAAGCUUCUGAGCAUCCCAAACUAGCUAAGACCACUGCCUGCCGAGACUCCUUGCAGAGUCUGAGGAAAUUUGGCCUCGUUUUCCUAGGGCUGGGGAAUGAGCUCCGGAGGUCAAUAAAGCCCUCCAAAAAUGAUGAAUGAUUGAGCACCUGUGAUGAUGAUAGUGAUUACCAGAGCAAUUAAACAGUUUGAUUAAAUGAGCCAUCAUAACAAUGAUGUCUGCGGGAAAUCGGCCCUCACAUAUAAAGACAGUGUGGAGGGGCUGGCAGAGGAGCGGAGAGCGCGCCGGGAGAGGGGCUGCGGCCCGCGCGUGUUUGGCUCCAGUGGCCAAAGCUCGGACGGUGGGCUGGGGAGCUUCUGGGAGCAGAGUCUAGUCUAGGGUUUCUGUCUUUCUUUCUGCCUGGCUUCUAGCCUAAGACAGCCGACCCCUCUGGAACCUGAAAGACCAUAGGGUCCUUUCCCCUCCUCCCUCCCCCCUCUUUUUCCUCCCUAGAAGAACUCCAAGAUUACAAAUAUCUACUUCAUUUGAUGCUGAGUUACUCGUCACAUAAGAAAAGGUCUGUUUGGACAUUCAAAGAAGCUACACAUACAAAGAUGGUUUAAAAAAAAAAUCUCAGCGUCCCUAUACUCAUCCUUGCCUCGAAUAAAUAAUGUUGCUUGAAGAAAUUCAUCGGCCCUCUCCAGAUACUUCCAGGUUUGCUGUAAUGAUCUGCAGAAGAGAACUGCCACCACUUUCUCACAUCCCAAGGUGUUGGCGGAACUGGAGCGAAGAAGGGGAGAGGGGCUGCAUGCGUAAUUGCAGGGGGAGGGCGGGGUGCCUCCUGGGAUCCCGGGCAGGGGUUGCGGAGGUAAGAUGCAACCCAGGAAAGGUCUUUCUGGACGCUGGAGUCUCCAGUUGGAGAAUAUUUGGACAAGGUAUGAUUGCCUUAUCCCCCCCCCCGCCCCCCCGCUCCUCCCCGUCUCUAUCCCAAUGCCUUUGGGGAGAAGAGAUACCCUUGUGUAACAAUUAGCUCAGACAAUAAAAAUAAUUGGAAAAUCA